UACGGAGGGGACUAGCGUUGUUCGGAAUUACUGGGCGUAAAGCGCACGUAGGCGGAUUUGUAAGUCAGGGGUGAAAUCCCGGGGCUCAACCUCGGAACUGCCUUUGAUACUGCAAAUCUCGAGUCCGGAAGAGGUGAGUGGAAUUCCUGGUGUAGCGGUGAAAUGCGUAGAUAUCUGCAGGAACACCCGUGGCGAAAGCGGCGCGCUGGACCACUACUGACGCUGAGGAACGAAAGCUAGGGGAGCAAACAGG
rnacentral:rRNA from 1 species